AGAGGUGGCGAGCGUUGUUCGGAUUUAUUGGGCGUAAAGCGAACGCAGGUGGUUUGGUAAGUCAGAGGUGAAAGCCCACAGCUUAACUGUGGCACUGCCUUUGAUACUGCCUUUCUUGAGUACAUGAGGGGGAAGCGGAAUUCCGAGUGUAGAGGUGAAAUUCGUAGAUAUUCGGAGGAACACCGGUGGCGAAGGCGGCUUCCUGGCAUGUAACUGACACUCAUGUUCGAAAGCGUGGGUAGCAAACAGGAUUAGAUACCCUGGUAGUCCACGCCCUAAACGAUGGGCACUAGGUGUGGGAGGUAUCGACCCCUUCCGUGCCGCAGCUAACGCAUUAAGUGCCCCGCCUGGGGAGUACGGCCGCAAGGUUG
rnacentral:rRNA from 1 species